GGUCCGAAGUCUCUACGACGAAGCGUUCUUGAGAUAUUUCACUUUGAAAUUGCAAAAACGGGGGCCGCGCCCUGACGUCAUGCGGCCAUUUGGUUACAUCAUCACGGGCUGCCUACGUCAUUGUGGCAAAGUCGUUUCUCUUCGCCAGUCUACAAGCACUAAUUUUAGUUGGUAUUUCAAGGGAAGAUGGGCGAUUCCGAACAAUCCUCUGUCCCCAGCAAUGAAGGCAGCGAUGCUGAGGCCAGUGAGGACGACCAACAGCCCACCGCCGCGUAUGGUUGGGGCAGGGAGCCCAGAUACUCUGCUGAGGAGCUGCCAUCGCGUGUAACAAAUGUGGAGGAAGAAGAUGCGUCAGCAGCUGCGUCCGACAGAAGACGAGUAGCUUGGCCACCAGAAUCUCGAUUCGUUUGGGACUCCGACUGGUGCGAGCGUGGACAAAAGUGUAUAGCCAUGCCCAGCCCGCGGGAAUGAUUUUGCUGGUAGGAUGCUGCCGUCGCUGUCGACAAGACGGCCCAAGGUUUCUUGCGUAGCGGACCUCGCAGAUUACGAGAUCGUAUCCUUGCAUUAGGCUGUGCUCAUCACUGCUCUUCGAGGUUAUCUCGACAUGCAGAAGCCGCCAAUGCCAGUGACAGAAGAGUCUGACAUUAGAUCUCUACGCUAUGCGGCACACAGGCAGUACACACUAUGUACACGGCAAAUUGGGCAAGCACGUUCGUUGUCGUCUUCCAGCCUGCGUUGUGAAUACCAUCAGGCAAAGAUAUCCAAAUCCUGCACCACCUCAGCCUUCUCAGGAGGCUUCCACCUGGAAUUUGGCAGGGAAACACGCUUCUCCAAGGCAGGAACAUGGAGGUUGCCAUUUGCAACCGCUACCACCUCACACAUGAGCUUGUCAACAUACUCAUAGCUCUUUCUGUCGUAUAAUUUUCUAUUUGGCCACAGUCUUCUUUAUGCUUUGAGAACUGGACUUUAUACCUUCC